AGAGUUUGAUCCUGGCUCAGGACGAACGCUGGCGGCGUGCUUAACACAUGCAAGUCGAACGGAGAUAUAUGAGUGUUUACAUGAGUAUAUCUUAGUGGCGGACGGGUGAGUAACACGUGGGUAACCUGCCCUAUGGAGGGGGAUAACACUCAGAAAUGGGUGCUAAUACCGCAUAACGUAACCGGAACGCAUGUUCUGGAUACCAAAGGUUUACUACCAUAGGAUGGACCCGCGGCCCAUUAGCUAGUUGGUGAGGUAACGGCCCACCAAGGCGACGAUGGGUAGCCGAUCUGAGAGGAUGAACGGCCACAUUGGAACUGAGACACGGUCCAGACUCCUACGGGAGGCAGCAGUGGGGAAUAUUGCACAAUGGGGGAAACCCUGAUGCAGCAAUGCCGCGUGAGUGAAGAAGGCCUUCGGGUUGUAAAACUCUGUCUUAGCUGACGAUAAUGACGGUAAGCUAGGAGGAAGCCACGGCUAACUACGUGCCAGCAGCCGCGGUAAUACGUAGGUGGCGAGCGUUGUCCGGAAUUACUGGGCGUAAAGGGAGCGUAGGCGGUUUGAUAAGUGGGAUGUGAAAUCCCCGGGCUUAACCUGGGAAUUGCAUUUCAAACUGUGAGACUAGAGUGCGGGAGAGGAAAGUGGAAUUCCAAGUGUAGCGGUGAAAUGCGUAGAGAUUUGGAGGAACACCAGUGGCGAAGGCGACUUUCUGGACCGUAACUGACGCUGAGGCUCGAGAGCGUGGGGAGCAAACAGGAUUAGAUACCCUGGUAGUCCACGCUGUAAACGAUGAAUACUAGGUGUAGGGGGCGAAGCCUUCUGUGCCGCAGUUAACACAAUAAGUAUUCCGCCUGGGGAGUACGAUCGCAAGAUUAAAACUCAAAGGAAUUGACGGGGGCCCGCACAAGCAUCGGAGCAUGUGGUUUAAUUCGAAACAACGCGAAGAACCUUACCAAGGCUUGACAUCCUAAGAAAGCGGAAGAGAUUCUGCUGUGCCUUUCGGGAACUUAGAGACAGGUGGUGCAUGGUUGUCGUCAGCUCGUGUCGUGAGAUGUUGGGUUAAGUCCCGCAACGAGCGCAACCCCUAUUGUUAGUUGCUACCAUUAAGUUGAGCACUCUAGCGAGACUGCCGAGGUUAACUCGGAGGAAGGUGGGGAUGACGUCAAAUCAUCAUGCCCUUUAUGCCUUGGGCAACACACGUGCUACAAUGGUUGGUACAAAGAGAAGCAAGACAGCGAUGUGGAGCAAAUCUCAAAAACCAAUCCCAGUUCGGAUUGCAGGCUGCAACUCGCCUGCAUGAAGCUGGAGUUGCUAGUAAUCGCGAAUCAGAAUGUCGCGGUGAAUGCGUUCCCGGGCCUUGUACACACCGCCCGUCACACCAUGAGAGUUGGCAAUACCCGAAGUCAGUGAGCUAACCCGUAAGGGGGGCAGCUGCCGAAGGUGGGGUCGAUGAUUAGGGUGAAGUCGGAACAAGGUA
rnacentral:rRNA from 1 species